rnacentral:rRNA from 1 species
CUCGUAGGCGGUUCGUCGCGUCCGGUGUGAAAGUCCAUCGCUUAACGGUGGAUCCGCGCCGGGUACGGGCGGGCUUGAGUGCGGUAGGGGAGACUGGAAUUCCCGGUGUAACGGUGGAAUGUGUAGAUAUCGGGAAGAACACCAAUGGCGAAGGCAGGUCUCUGGGCCAUUACUGACGCUGAGGCACGAAAGCGUGGGGAGGCAAAACA